rnacentral:rRNA from 1 species
GCGUACGGGUGCGGAACACGUGUGCAACCUGCCUUUAUCUGGGGGAUAGCCUUUCGAAAGGAAGAUUAAUACCCCAUAAUAUGUUGAAUGGCAUCAUUCGACAUUGAAAACUCCGGUGGAUAGAGAUGGGCACGCGCAAGAUUAGAUAGUUGGUGAGGUAACGGCUCACCAAGUCUACGAUCUUUAGGGGCCUGAAGGGUGAUCCCCCACACUGGUACUGAACACGGACCAGACUCCUACGGGAGGCAGCAGUGUGGAAUAUUGCACAAUGGGCGCAAGCCUGAUGCAGCCAUGCCGCGUGUAUGAAGAAGGCCUUCGGGUUGUAAAGUACUUUCAGCGGGGAGGAAGGUGUUGUGGUUAAUAACCACAGCAAUUGACGUUACCCGCAGAAAAAGCACCGGCUAACUCCGUGCCAGCAGCCGCGGUAAUACGGGAGGGUGCAAGCGUUAUCCGGAUUUAUUGGGUUUAAAGGGUCCGUAGGCGGAUCUGUAAGUCAGAGGUGAAAUCUCACAGUUUAACUGUGAAAACUGCCAUUGAUACUGCAGGUCUUGAGUGUUGUUGAAGUAGCUGGAAUAAGUAAGUGUACGGUGAAAUGCAUAG